UACGGAGGGGUGCACGUUGCUCGGAAUGACUGGGCGUAAAGGGCGCGUAGGCGGUUCGUACAGUCAGACGUGAAAUUCCCGGGCUCAACCUGGGGACUGCGUUUGAUACGUGCGGGCUUGAGUUCGGAAGAGGGUCGUGGAAUUCCCAGUGUAGAGGUGAAAUUCGUAGAUAUUGGGAAGAACACCGGGUGGCGAAGGCGGCGACCUGGUCCGAUACUGACGCUGAGGCGCGAAAGCGUGGGGAGCAAACAGG
rnacentral:rRNA from 1 species